rnacentral:rRNA from 1 species
UACGAAGGGGGCUAGCGUUACUCGGAAUUACUGGGCGUAAAGGGCGCGUAGGCGGCGCUCCAAGUUAGGCGUGAAAGUCCUGGGCUCAACCUGGGAACUGCGCUUAAGACUGGAGUGCUAGAGGAUGGAAGAGGGUUGUGGAAUUCCCAGUGUAGAGGUGAAAUUCGUAGAUAUUGGGAAGAACACCGGUGGCGAAGGCGGCAACCUGGUCCAUUACUGACGCUGAGGCGCGAUAGCGUGGGGAGCGAACAGG